rnacentral:rRNA from 1 species
AUUGAACGCUGGCGGCAUGCCUUACACAUGCAAGUCGAACGGCAGCACGGGUGCUUGCACCUGGUGGCGAGUGGCGAACGGGUGAGUAAUACAUCGGAACGUACCUUAUCGUGGGGGAUAACAAAUUGAAAAAUUUGCUAAUACCGCAUAAUACUCUGAGGAGGAAAGCUAGCUCGCACGAGCUGGCGCUAUGGGAGGAGCCUGCGCCCGAUGAGUUAGCUGGUGAGGUAAAAGCUCACCAGGGCGAUAAUCGGUAGCUGGUCUGAGAGGAUGACCAGCCACACUGGGACUGAGACACGGCCCAGACUCCAACGGGAGGCAGCAGUGGGGAAUAUUGUAAAAGGGGGGCAACCCUAGUCCAGCAAUACCGCGUGUGUGAAGAAGGCCUUCGGGUUGUAAAGCACUUUGGGCGGGGAAGAAGGUAUUCUGUUUAAGAGAUGGGAUAUUUGACGGUACCCGCAGAACAAGCACCGGCUAACUCUGUGCCAGCCGCCGCAGUAA